AGGUGGAAGGAGCACCCUUAUGUCACAGUCUAUCUUUAUCGUUGUAACAAGGCCAGAGGAAAUCGGGUGCAUGACCAAGUUCUGCUGGCAGAACUACAACUGCAUUGACAUCCUCGGAUAUCACGCCACCUUUCCUCCUUGGACCAAAGAAACGAGCAGACCUUCCAGGGGACUCAGUGUUGGCGAAGCAGCCACACGGGAAGGCAGGGUUUCCACUCAUUCAGGGCCCUGGGUCUCCAUGCUCCCCUGCCCCGGCCAGCUCUGUACCACUCUGUUCCACAGCUUCCCUGUGAGCUCAGGUUUCCUUCAUUUCUCUUUCCCAUUAAGAGUUUGAUGUUAACAGCCCAUUCAAAGUGUUAUUUAACUUUAUGGAAUGAGAAAGAUCACAGGCGAGUCCUCAGAAAGGAAAAAGAAAAUGAAGUACUGUGAAGUAUAACUUAACAAAGAAGGAGACAGUUUAGCAUGAGUCGCCCAGGAAGCCAGAGAAGCUGCAGCUGGCCUUCUUGCCUAGGCCACCCCAGAGGGCACACGUGACAGUACCGGGAAAGCAAGCCAGGGGUCUCAGGCCGGGUGUCAGAGGGUUUCCCCUGUGUCCUGACAUUCUCCUCCCGCAUUGGAGAAGAACUUGAACGGUCUCAUUGAGGACCUGCUACGUGACAGAACCCCUCCAGUGCCAAAAAGAGAAUACAAAUACAAACACUGGGGAAAAAAUAUUUAAAAUCCCAGUUAGCAAAAUCCUCCGUCUUUGCCACAUGACUGAAGAGGGACUAUUUGGUUUAGGUAUAGAUCAUCCCCCCAAGAUGCAUGUGUUGAAGGCCACAUAGCAACAUCCAGACUCGGGCAGGGGACUUUGGGAAAUGAUCGAUCAUGAGGGUGCCGAUCUUACCGGUGAAUUAGUUCAUUUGAUGGAUUAACAGUUUUGAUCGACUACUAGGUAGAGGCUAUAGACAGGUGGCACGUGGUGGAAGGCAGUAGGCCAACGGGGGCAUGCCCUUGGGGACAAUAUCUCGUCUGUGGCUCAUUCUCUCCACCCCCUACUCAGCAACCAUGAGCUGAACAGCAUUCCGCCACCAGACCCUGUGCCCUCAAGUCCCGCCUCACCUCAGGCCCAGAACAAUGGAGCCAGCCAAGCAUGAAAUGAGCCUCUGAAACCAAGAGGCCAGACAAACCUUUCUUCUAAGUCAUCCGUCAGGUCUGUUAGUCACAGCCAUGAGGAGCUAACAGACUGCUGACCUUGUGACAGUUAGAAAAUAUGACAGACUACAGGACUUACAAACCAGGAGCAGGCUCUGGAAAGUGAGGACACACCCCUUGUCAGAUUCUGGUCAGGAGAUGUUUGAUAAAAAGGAAUUCCAAUUUCAGAAUAUUCUUUCCCCUUGGAAAGACCACUAAACAGGUACUCUUUGAUCUUCACACCCAUGAAGACCUUUUUUUUUCCACAGGAUUCCAUUUGAAUUAAGGGUUAAAAGAACAUAUUCUUAUCUCUAAAACAUAACAUUUCUCUGUUCAAUCAAUGUUUCCAACUUCCUCAUGCCACACAGUUAACAAUAAAUUCAGAAUGUGUGUUUAUCUACCUUGGUUUCCUAGACCAUAAACAUAAGGCCAAGGUCAAGACUAAAUAUAUAAGUUCCAUAAACAUCUAAUGUGCUGUAAGUAGUCCAUAAAACAUUUACACCAUCCAUAAAUUUCUUUGCACUAAUAACCAGGUUACAAAGAACAGCGUCAAUUCACUAUAGAAUUAGAGUGUAUUUAAUCUGUAACAAUUGAAAAUUUUUCAUAGUGGAACAUACUAUUUACAGUAUAAAAAUAAACAAGCUCCAGCCCCAAGAAGAGAUUAAACUGGGCAAGAUUAUCAGAUGAGGUAAAUGGAAGCUACUUUUAAACCAAUUACUACAGUCAUUUAAAAACAAAUGAGUAUAAGUUUUUAAAAAGUAAUGUAUUUAUCUAAGGGCUGGGCUGCAUCAGUAUUUGUAUACAAUGGGUUUCUAUAAAUCAAUUUUAGAAAUACACAUCUAGAACACGUUAAGUUACUUGUUAUAUUUCUAGAGAUGUAACCUUGAAGUUAUUCACAAAUAAUUCCUCAAGUCUGAAAAUAUUUUGAUAGUUUACCUAAUAUCAUAGGGGUAAGAAGCUACAUUAAAUCUGACAUAAGUUUUUAAAGUUCUUUUUUCAGUGCUAAGUCAAUCAGGAAAGAACAAUAGUCAUGACUCCACACACACACCCCCCUAACAAAACUGGAGCUGGCUCCUGGCAGGAGGAGGGAAAUCAGUCCUCAAGGUCAGAACGGCUGCCGGGCCAGUCUCAGUGCACAGAAUCCCAGGACAGGAAGGGCUGCCUGCCCUGGGCCCUCGUAGAGACUACUCAGCUUGCUAACUGGGUGCAAGGAAGACACCCCGGGGGUGCCAGCUGUGUCUGGGGCACGGAGACUGGAGCCCUCUGGGAUGCCCAUGCUGCUCCAGUGCCAAGAGAGAACCCGAGCUCAGUCCCAAGUUCAGGACUAAGUACACUAUAGGAGUCUGGCAGUCACCAGCCCAGGGAGCUAGACAGAGGCCGGCAAUUCUGAAUUUCUGGCAAGGAGAGCCUUUAACCCUGGUGGAGAGACCGCCUCCCCCCCCCACCCCAGCCCA
rnacentral:lncRNA from 1 species